ACUUGGGCUGGUGAAUAAAAACUCAGCAUUGCUCACUGUCUACUUCGGAUUCACCCAUAAAUGCUGCCACCCACUUUCGGCUGCCUAUCAAAUAUUUUCUAAGUGCCUAUUAUGUGUCAAGAUAGUUUCUUUCAGGGCCAGCCCGGUGGGGUAGUGGUUAAGUUCACACCCUCCACUUCGGUGGCCCAGGGUUUGUAGGUUCAGAUCCUGAGAGCAGACCUACACACCACUCAUCAAGCCAUGCUGAGGUGAGGUCCCACAUAGGAAAUAGAGGAAGACUGGCACAGAUGUCAGCUUAGGGACAAUCUUCCUCAAGCAAAAAGAGGAAGAUUGGCAAUAGAUGUGAGCACAGGGCCAAUCUUCCUCACAAAAAAAAAAAAAAUUUAAAUAUAGAUAUAUAUGUAGUUUCUUUCACUGAGGAAUGGGGAUAACUGUGAGUCCAGUAGUCAGCCGGUAAUACCACUUGGUUAGAUGAGACCAAGAGCUCCAUCAACGCAGGAGGGUGUCAAUCCUGGUCAAAGGGCCAGUGGGUCACACAGACUUAUUUCAAGCUUGCUGUAGUUAACUAAAUAAAAAAAUCUUCUAACUAAUUUUGUAAAUACGAUUUUGUGUGUGUCAAGACCAACUACUGUAAUCAUUUCUUGGUAUAUGGUAUGUUAUUCUAGAUCUUCAAGUCAAACGAUGACUCAAUCUGAUACACAAAAAACUAACAGCCACAGAACUAAGACCUCACUACAAACUGCAAAGAAACUAGAUUUUUUGCUUACAAUAAUUAAAGGUUUAAAGAAAUUUCAAGAUAAGUGACUUCAUCUUCUUACUCUUGCUUAGAUAUCAGUUUCUCCACUUAGAGUUUAAAUUGGGCUAAAUGGUAGUAAGGAAGAAUUUGUGGGCUACAAUGUAAUGAAUAAUUCCUCCAACCCAGAUCAUUUUCCUUGUAAAACUAGGGGCUUGUUAAGAAGUAGGCUGCAGGGUUCACAGAUCCGACAUGGCCAUUUUGGCAUAAUUUGAAGGACAGGUUUGCAUAAGUUUGCAUGAGUUGCAUGAAUUCCUCCUUCCAGUCUUUCCGAGCUUCAGGCAAUUAUAGGUAACUCCAGGCUACCUGGCUCUGGACACAUCUUCUCCUCCUCACUCCUCUUCCUCCCAAGGGUGGCUCUGUACUGUCUAAAAAUAAAUGGUUCAUAUUCCUAAGGAAUGUUUGCAAUUUAUUUGGCACUCAGGAUACAGCUUCUCAUAGUAACAGUAUCAUAAAUAGUGAUUAGGUUUCCAGUCCAACCUACAGAAACAUUUUUUUUAAUUCCUUAUAUACCUGAGGUAAUAAAUGCUGGUCAUAGGUAGAACCUAGGUGGGAGGGGAGCUAAGGGCCUGAGGCAGUAACAAGGAGGAAAGGAGUCUGCAGGGACAAAGAGGAAGGCUGCUUUCAUUUACCCUUCUUGCAAUGCCUCUUAACAUCGGCCUAAAGCAAUGAGCAAUCACCCCUUUGGCUUGCUCUGCCUUCCCAUCCUCCUCUUUAAUACCAGCCCUCAAGGGGAAGAAGACC
rnacentral:lncRNA from 1 species